rnacentral:rRNA from 1 species
AUGCGUUGUUGGGUAGGGGAGCGUUCUGUAAGCCUGCGAAGGUGUGCUGUGAGGCAUGCUGGAGGUAUCAGAAGUGCGAAUGCUGACAUAAGUAACGAUAAAGCGGGUGAAAAGCCCGCUCGCCGGAAGACCAAGGGUUCCUGUCCAACGUUAAUCGGGGCAGGGUGAGUCGACCCCUAAGGCGAGGCCGAAAGGCGUAGUCGAUGGGAAACAGGUUAAUAUUCCUGUACUUGGUGUUACUGCGAAGGGGGGACGGAGAAGGCUAUGUUGGCCGGGCGACGGUUGUCCCGGUUUAAGCGUGUAGGCUGGUUUUCCAGGCAAAUCCGGAAAAUCAAGGCUGAGGCGUGAUGACGAGGCACUACGGUGCUGAAGCAACAAAUGCCCUGCUUCCAGGAAAAGCCUCUAAGCAUCAGGUAACAUCAAAUCGUACCCCAAACCGACACAGGUGGUCAGGUAGAGAAUACCAAGGCGCUUGAGAGAACUCGGGUGAAGGAACUAGGCAAAAUGGUGCCGUAACUUCGGGAGAAGGC